GCCGCCGCGGCCCGGGCCCGACUACUUCUUCGACCCGACCACACAGGCCAACCUGAUCCCGCUGCAUCAGUACAUCCUGGAGCAGGCGAAGCUUUCCGGGUACCGGUUCGGCGACGCGCUGGCCGACGACCGGGAGAGCUGGCGCAGCGAGGACUCUGGUCCGGCCGACGACUCGGACGAGUUCGCCGACGACGAAGGCGUCAGCAACGCCGACUCGUCCGGCCUGGACGACUACCUGGAGGAGGACGACCGCUACCAGAACUUCAUUCUGCCGCCGCACCUGCGCCACCGACAAAAGCUGAACGGGCGGUCCGAGUCGGACCUGGUGGACGGCAGCGCCGGCGG